rnacentral:lncRNA from 1 species
UUCUAACUCAGUGAAGAAUUGAGUUGGAAGUUUGAAUCUGUAGAUUGCUUUCAUCAGGAUAGCCAUUUUGACUAUAUUAAUCCUGCCAACCCAUGAGCAAGGGGGAUCUUUCCAUCUUCUGUGUUCUUCUUCAAUUUCUUUCUUCACAGACUUGAAGUUCUUAUCAUACAGAUCUUUCACUUCCUUAGUUAGAGUCACACCAAGGUAUUUUAUAUUGUUUGUGACUCUUGUGAAUGGUGUUGUUUCCCUAAUUUCUUUCUCAGCCCGUUUAUCCUGUGUGUAGAGAAAGGGCAUUCAUUUGUUUGAGUUAAUUUUAUAUCCAGCUACUGCACUGAAGCUGUUUAUCAGGAUUAGGAGUUCUCUGGUGGAAUUAUUAGGGUCACUUAUACAUACUAUCAUAUCAUCUGCAAAUAGUGAUAGUUUGACUUCUUCCUUUCCAAUUUGUAUCCCCUCGAUCUUCCUUUGUUGUCGAAUUGCUCUGGCUAGGACUUCAAGUACUAUAUUGAAUAGGUAGGGAGAAAGUGGGCAUCCUUGUCUAGUUCCUGAUUUUAGUGAGAUUGCUUCCAGCUUCUCUCCAUUUAGUUUGAUGGUGGUUUUCUGUAGAUUGCUUUUGUCAUGUUUAGGUAUGGGCCUUGAAUUCCUGAUCUUUCCAAGACUUUUAUCAUGAAUGGGUAUUGGAUUUUGUCAAAUGCUUUCUCAGCAUCUAAUGAGAUAAUCAUGCGUUUUUUUUUUUCUUUGAUUUGGUUUAUAUUGUGAAUUACGCUGAUGGAUUUGCGUAUAUUAAACCAUCCCUGCAUCCCUGGGAUCCAGCCUACUUGGUCAUGAUGGAUGAUUGUCUUGAUGUGUUCUUGGAUUCGGUUUGUGAGGAUUUUAUUAAGUAUUUUUGCAUCCAUGGUCAUAAGGGAAAUUGGUCUGAAGUUCUCUUUCUUUCUUGGAUCUUUGUGUGGUUUAGGUAUCAGAGUAAUUGUGGCUUCAUAGAAAGAAUUGGGUAGAGUGCCUUCUGUUUCUAUUUUGUGGAAUAGUUUGAGGAGAGUUGGAAUCAGGUCUUCUUCGAAGGUCUGCUAGAACUUUGCACUAAACCCGACAGGUCCUGGACUUUUUGGGGCUGGGAGACUAUUGAUGACUGCUUCUAUUUCUUUAGGGAAAUGAGAGUGUUUACAUCGUUAAUCUGAUUCUGAUUUAACUUUGGUAUCUGGUAUCUGUCUAGGAAGUUGUUUAUUUCAUACAGGUUUUCAGUUUUCCUGAGUAUAGCCUUUUGUAGUAGGAUCUGAUGAUGUUUUGGAUUUCCUCAGGUUCUGUUGUUAUGUUAUAAAGAACUCAAGUAGAUAACCACCAUAAGAGCUAAGAACACAAUCUAAAAAUGAGGUAGAGAACUAAACACAACAUUCACAACAACGCAUCUUGAAUGGCUGAGAAGCACUAAAGAAGUGUGCAAAGUCCUUUUUUUUUCAGGUAAAUGAAUAUCAAAAUGACCCUGAGGUGGUGUCCAGCAUUAUACUUUCCAGUGAAGAAUGUUAAGAUCAAAAAAAACUCAUGUGAAAGCAUAUGUUGGUGAGAAUUUGAAGAAAGAGGAACAUUCUUCCAUUUCUGGUGGGACUGCAAAGAGCUAUGGCAACUCUGGAAAUCAAAAUGGAGUUCCUCAGAAAUUUUCAGAUAGAUCUACCUGAGAGCCAAGGACCAACCUUACUGGUGCAUGGCCUGCUACUUUCAGUUUUCACUUGAUGGCUUGUUACUCAGAUUUUCUUAUUGGGCUAUGACUUUGCUCUUGUCUUUCUGAUUCUCAAGCAGUUCUCUGUUCUUACACAUUGUUUUGAGGUACCUCUAGCCACUGGGACUUAUUUAUACCUUCAAAUCCCUCUAAAUUGGGGGACUUCUAAUACUUGGAGAAGCUGAGUGACAAAAGCAAAGUAUGUUGAGCCCUUUGGUGUCCAGUGCACACGAAUCUAUGGGAGUUUAGAUAUAAUAAUCCUCUAGAACAUUCUUUAGGAAAGCAGCAGUAUGCUCUCAGGACCCUGUGUGACCUCAGUUACCUUUGCCAGCUUUGUGGGCUUCUCUACUGCUGGUCUGAGAACAAUUGGAAACUCCUGGAAUAGAUGUCUCAUAUCUCAUUUCCUUUGUCCUUGUUAGUAUACUGAUGGGAUUCGGUUUGAUGGAAAUAUACUCUCAAGAAUAAUUAAUAAAACCAGUGCUUCUUACGGACCAUCAGGAUGAAGUACCAAGUUCAAGGACAGUUCUGCAAGAACUGCUCAAAGCCAGCCAAGUGGAACAAGAAGAAAGCCAAGCAGAAGUCAUUCAUUCCCAGCACCCUCAUCACCUUUCUCCAGGACAGGGUCACUCAACUUUGGUAGAAGAAGGGAUGACCUGAGAUAGCUGCCCCAUAUUCCCUCAGAAAAGAAGCAGCCAGCAAUAUUGGGGAAAGAAUAUAGGUGUCAGGGGGCAGAAAGCAGAGUGUAAAGUGAAUAAAUAAAAAUAUAUCAAUAAAAAAUAAUUAAUUAUUUAAAAAAAUUGGACAGAAUGAAUUGUUCUAGUAACUCUAGUGUGUAUACACAGGCAAUAACUUUAACACCCAGAGAGAAUAGAUGUUGUAAAGUAGGGUGCCUUUGGUAUUGACAUAAACUAGGAACAUAGC